GGGUUGAUGGCCUCCCAACCGGAAGAGGCCAUAGGGAGCUCCUCUGCAGCUGAGGAGAAAAGCCUGAGGAAUCCCUCACUUCAAAUGAGAAAAUGAGAAACUGCAAACCUGUGAAGAAAAGCACCACCCGAAUAAGGCUGUAUCCGUGCCAGCAGUGAGUCUGUUUAAUGACAAUGCAAUAUCACAUUUCCACACAGUCCUCAAAAGAAGGCAAGAGUCAGUGUCAUUGGAUAGGCUCCUUGUUAAAGUUCCAUGAAGAGAAAAAGAUUCUGUGGAGCCGGUAGGUAGUAGUGAUCCCGUUAGUGAUAGUGAAGUCCUCCCACGCAGUAGCCCUCCUCUCUUAUCUCCUUCACACCUGCCACGAAGGGUUUCAAAGUUCUUAUUUUUGAAAAAUCCUUCACUUACUGGCUUUGUGGAGCAUUUUUGCCUGGAUACUUUUGCUGAGAAGGUAAUGAAUGGCUUAAGGGGAGGUGAAGCCAUCAUACGGCGUGAGCUGCAGGGAUCAAAUGGGACAAGGAGGAACCCAUGGUGGAUGAGAGAUUGCUUACAGACCGUGUGAGUGGCAGAGAGAUAUGGCUGACUGACUGCCCUAGACGAACUGCUCCCUCAGCCUUUUCUGACACUUGGAGCUCUGCAAAUGUAACAUGCAAUUUUGGUGCCAAUGACAGAAGCCUUCCAGAAAACAAAACAACAAGAACUUGGACUGAGGCUGUAGCUCAGUGGCAGAGAACUUUGCUAGCACGCACAAGGCCCUGGGUUAGAUUCCAACAUUGAAAAAGGAAAAAAAAAUCAAGAACCCAAUCAAACCAUAAUACUUUCAGAAAUUUAGUAGCACUCGAUUAAUGAAAAGGUAAGAUUCUAUAACUACA
rnacentral:lncRNA from 1 species